rnacentral:rRNA from 1 species
CCUACGGGGUGCAGCAGUGGGGAAUAUUGCACAAUGGGCGCAAGCCUGAUGCAGCCAUGCCGCGUGUAUGAAGAAGGCCUUAGGGAUGUAAAGUACUUUCAGUUGGGAGGAAGGCGUUGAUGCUAAUAUCAUCAACGAUUGACGUUACCAACAGAAGAAGCACCGGCUAACCCCGUGCCAGCAGCCGCGGUAAUACGGAGGGUGCAAGCGUUAAUCGGAAUUACUGGGCGUAAAGCGCACGCAGGCGGUUGAUUAAGUUAGAUGUGAAAUCCCCGGGCUUAACCUGGGAAUGGCAUCUAAGACUGGUCAGCUAGAGUCUUGUAGAGGGGGGGUAGAAUUCCAUGUGUAGCGGUGAAAUGCGUAGAGAUGUGGAGGAAUACCGGUGGCGAAGGCGGCCCCCUGGACAAAGACUGACGCUCAGGUGCGAAAGCGUGGGAGCAAACAGGAUUAGAUACCCUCGUAGUC